GUCUAUGGAAGUUAACAAAAAACACUGCCAAGGGAAAAAAGCAGAAGAUUUUAUCUGGGUUCAGUGUGAUAAUCCAAAGUGUAUGAAAUGGAGAAAGCUGCCAAAGGUUGUUUGCAAUGAUUUAUCCAGUGUUACGUGGUUUUGUCAUAUGAAUGCUGAUGAAGCACAUAAUAGCUGUGAUGUUAAAGAAGAAAAAAUGCAUGUUCCACGUGGAAGAACUGUUGUUUUUAGUGAGUUGGAAGUUGGAUCGUUAGUUUGGGCAAAGUUUUCUGGUUAUCCUAGGUGGCCUGGUGUGAUUUCUCCAGAUCCUUGUUUCGGUGACAGAAUACACAUUAUUCGUUAUGAUGAUGGUACAAAUGAUCCUAAGUACUACCAUAUUGAAUUUCUUGGAAAACCACAUACACAUGCCUGGGUGUCUGCUCGCUAUGUUCAGAUUUACAGUGUCAGCAUUGGUGAAACAGAGUUUACACAAAAUGCCAUGAAAAGAAAAGCUAUGAAAUUGAGUUUUCAAAAAUCAAUCAGUGAAGCUUCUCAGAUGUUAGAAUUGACUCAGGAUCAACGUCUUGAGAAAUGCAUAUACAGAUGUAUCAAAAUGGCUGAUGACAUCAGUGAACAAACAUGUUUUAAAGCGCAAAGACGAAAGCAUGGAAAGAAAAGUCAUGGAAGAUUAAAGAAUGAGAUUCUGAGCACUGGAGAUCUUAGGGAAAUGUGUGCAAAUAAGCUGUUUGUCAAUGUUAAUGGAGUCAUGUAUCCAGUUCAAAUGGAUCAAAAGCAGCAAGCCAUGUCUGUUGUUUGGCCUAACAGAAAUGAUGUUGUUAGUCCCAUCACUCAAGACACAGGAAUGGCUCUAGAAAAACAACUAAGUUGUAAAAAUGGUGUGGGAGAAAAACCUGUUAUUAAGAAAAAAAUGAAGAGAAGAGGAAGAAAAGGACACGGUCAGAUGCUUCAAGAAAGAAAAGGAUAUCUAAACCAAGUUAAUGAUUUGACUAAAAGUAGUCCAGAGAAGAAAAAUGGCAUGUCCAAAAGUGAGAAAACCCGAAUCGAUGUUGAAAUUAAUAGAAAUUGUGCUAUAAUCCAAAAUGAGAGUACAUUCAUGAAACUGUUCAAUACGUUUUGUUUGUCCAAAAAGAAUCCAACCGAGACUGUACAUAUCAGUUGGUACAAGAAGAGUGUAAAUUUGUUUGAGUUUUUUAAGAAAGUGCAGUAUAUGGGUGGAUAUAAACAGAGUUUUGCUGCCCUUUGAGAAACACAUUAAAAAGAGGUUAAAGAAUGGUACGUUACCUUCUUAAAUUUCCAACUUGUUACCCACGGUGUGUCAAAAAGACAAGGAAAAUUUCGAAUCAAAACAAUCAACAUCUGCUUUCAGCAGCACCAUAUCAUUUAGUCCAGUUUAUGCACCCCCACCAUCUAUAAAAACUUCACAAUGUCCUGUGAUAUUACCACUACCAAGCUCUGUGCAGUACAUUACAGCAACAAACAAAGGUGUUUUGAAAAAUGUUUU